rnacentral:rRNA from 1 species
GAUGAACGCUGGCUACAGGCUUAACACAUGCAAGUCGAGGGGAAACGCCGGGGAAGCUUGCUUCCCCGGGCGUCGACCGGCGCACGGGUGAGUAACGCGUAUCCAACCUGCCUCUGACUGAGGGAUAACCCGUCGAAAGUCGGCCUAAUACCUCAUGGUAUCGUCUGCGGGCAUCCAACGACGAUUAAAGAUUUCAUCGGUCAGGGAUGGGGAUGCGUCUGAUUAGCUUGUUGGCGGGGUAACGGCCCACCAAGGCUACGAUCAGUAGGGGUUCUGAGAGGAAGGUCCCCCACAUUGGAACUGAGACACGGUCCAAACUCCUACGGGAGGCAGCAGUGAGGAAUAUUGGUCAAUGGGCGAGAGCCUGAACCAGCCAAGUAGCGUGCAGGAAGACGGCCCUAUGGGUGGUAAACUGCUUUUAUGCGGGGAUAAAGUGAGGGACGUGUCCCUCAUUGCAGGUACCGCAUGAAUAAGGACCGGCUAAUUCCGUG